rnacentral:rRNA from 1 species
CUGCAGUCGAUACGGGCGGACUUGAGUUCGGCAGGGGAGACUGGAAUUCCUGGUGUAGCGGUGAAAUGCGCAGAUAUCAGGAGGAACACCGGUGGCGAAGGCGGGUCUCUGGGCCGAAACUGACGCUGAGGAGCGAAAGCGUGGGGAGCGAACAGGAUUAGAUACCCUGGUAGUCCACGCCGUAAACGUUGGGCGCUAGGUGUGGGGGCCAUUCCACGGUCUCCGUGCCGCAGCUAACGCAUUAAGCGCCCCGCCUGGGGAGUACGGCCGCAAGGCUAAAACUCAAAGGAAUUGACGGGGGCCCGCACAAGCGGCGGAGCAUGUUGCUUAAUUCGAUGCAACGCGAAGAACCUUACCUAGGCUUGACAUGCACGGAAAAGCGGCAGAGAUGUCGUGUCCUUCGGGGUCGUGCACAGGUGGUGCAUGGUUGUCGUCAGCUCGUGUCGUGAGAUGUUGGGUUAAGUCCCGCAACGAGCGCAACCCUCGUUCCAUGUUGCCAGCACGUGAUGGUGGGGACUCAUGGGAGACUGCCGGGGUCAACUCGGAGGAAGGUGGGGAUGACGUCAAAUCAUCAUGCCCCUUAUGUCUAGGGCUGCAAACAUGCUACAAUGGCCGGUACAAAGGGCUGCGAUACCGCGAGGUGGAGCGAAUCCCAAAAAGCCGGUCUCAGUUCGGAUUGGGGUCUGCAACUCGACCCCAUGAAGUUGGAGUCGCUAGUAAUCGCAGAUCAGCAACGCUGCGGUGAAUACGUUCCCGGGCCUUGUACACACCGCCCGUCACGUCACGAAAGUCGGUAACGCCCGAAGCCGGUGGCCCAAC